GUCUACAAGCAGGUCCAUUUGCCAGUUAACCUCAGACUAUUUCCCUCUAGCCAAAUUACAGACAUGGUCCUUAGCUUAGAACCUUUGUGGUGAGCAGUGAAUUAGAACGUAGGGAGUCAGGUGUUUUUAAGGAAUAUUUCCAUUCAGCUAGGAUAUUAAGAUUAUUCCAUUCUCCAGAUCAAAGAUGUCUAGAACAUCAGGAUUGGACUUUCAGAUCAGAGACGAAUCUCCUGUGGACCAGUUGGAUAGACACUGAAGUUUUUAUUUCUUGGCCUUCCUCUAACUAAACUCCAUACCACCCUCUUAAGAUAAUCAGAUGUGUCAGACCGUUGGUUUAAUUUACAACUUUAUUUGCAUUAAAUGCAUUACAAUUCUUGGGACAUACCCUAAUGGAUCAACUUGAUUAGACUGAGAAACUCUCCAGUCUAAAUACCCAUCUAGCGAGUGCCUCGCAGAGUAUCCUGGUCCCUUUAUUUCCAUUUAGAAGUUGUCUCUUAAUUUGAAUUAUUUGGCAAGUGGCUAAAAGCAUUUGUUCUUUAUUGAUUUUGAUGGAUUCAAUUUCAGAGAGUGACUUUUUCUGUCCUUGUUA
rnacentral:lncRNA from 1 species